GUUCUUUUCUGCAUUUUGUAGUCCAGUAUUUAAUUUAUUUAUUUAAUUAGGUAUAUAUGACAGCAGAAUGCAUUUUGAUCCAUUGUACACAAUUGCAGCACUACUUUUCAUUUCUCUGAUUGUACACAAUGUAGCAUCACACCAUAUGUGCAGUCACACAUGUAACUAGGUAAUGUACCUAGGGUAAUGAUGUCCAUCUCAUUUCACCAUCUUUCUUGUUCCCCUGCACCCUCCCUAGCCUCCUUCCCCUUUGCCCAAUCAAAGUUCCUCCAUUUUUCCCAUGCUUCCCCCUUCCCAAUGCAUCAGCAUCCACUUAUCAGAGAGAACAUUUGGCCUUUGGUUUUUUGGGAUUGGUUUACUUUGCUUAGCAUAAUAUUCUCCAACUCCAUCCAUUUACCUAAAAUGCCAUAAUUUUAUUCUUUUUUAAUGCUGAGUCACAUUCCAUUGUGUAUAUAUACCACAGUUUCUUUAUUUUAAAAAUAUCAAAUGUGUUGGGUGAAAUAUGGAGUCUCUUUGCUAUUCUACUUUGAAUGGGUUUGAUUAGGACUGAGGUGGAAUAUGAUUCAUACGUUUGUUAGUCACCUGUAUUUUUUUUUUUUUUGCCAAUUGUUUCUUAUUGCUCAUUUUAAGAUCAGAGGUUCUUUAUUAGAAUUAUAAAUUGUGAAAGAGCUUUGAUAAAAGAAAAAGGAGCAAGAAAGAGUAGCAGAGGAGAACAGUAAAAAUGAUUCAGAACUUGGGGCUGAGGUUGUGGCUCGGUGGUAGAGUGUUCACCUAGCAUGCAUUAGGCGCUGGGAUCUAUCCUUAGCACCACAUAUAAAUGUAAAAUAAAGAUAUUGUGUCUACCUAAAACUAACAAAUAAAUAAAUGUUAAAAAAUAAGAAACUGAAGGAGUUUUUUUAAAAAAAUAAAAAUGAUUCAGUACUUAAAAACAUUCAUUGAAAGUUUUUUAUUCAUUCAACAAAUUUUAAGUGCUUACUACAAGUCAGGUAUUGGAGCUAGAGAUAAAUAAGUAAGAGCUACUUCCCUAAAUGCUACCUUAAAUGCAAAAUGUUGCAAAGCCCUAUUUUUUUUUUCAUUAGUACAUAUUACUGCCCUACAUACUCAUGCAUAUCUAUUUUCUGUUUCCCUUCUGCUUCCCCCUUUUUUUUUCAUGUUAGAAAAUCUUCACCCCCCAAAAAAAAGUCUUCACAGAAGAGACUUAGCUUCUUUUGUUAAUUGCUCUAUCCCUGGGGCUAAGAACAGUGCUAGGCACUUAAUAAAUAUUUGUGGAGUGGUUAAAUAAAAGAUCUUUUUGGUUCUGGUAACUUUGACUCACUGGAUUACCCGGUAAUGGGAAUUAGGUUGAAAUUGCCUGAUAUAAUCAGGGUAGUAAGAAACAUUCCAUUUCUUUCAACCCUAUCAUUUCGUCAGUAUGGUUUGGG
rnacentral:lncRNA from 1 species